rnacentral:rRNA from 1 species
GAUGAACGCUGGCGGCGUGCUUAACACAUGCAAGUCGAACGGGAAUUACUUUAUUGAAACUUCGGUCGAUUUAAUUUAAUUCUAGUGGCGGACGGGUGAGUAACGCGUGGGUAACCUGCCUUGUACAGGGGGAUAACAGUCAGAAAUGACUGCUAAUACCGCAUAAGCGCACAGGACCGCAUGGUCCGGUGUGAAAAACUCCGGUGGUAUAAGAUGGACCCGCGUUGGAUUAGCUUGUUGGUGGGGUAACGGCCCACCAAGGCGACGAUCCAUAGCCGGCCUGAGAGGGUGAACGGCCACAUUGGGACUGAGACACGGCCCAGACUCCUACGGGAGGCAGCAGUGGGGAAUAUUGCACAAUGGGGGAAACCCUGAUGCAGCGACGCCGCGUGAAGGAAGAAGUAUCUCGGUAUGUAAACUUCUAUCAGCAGGGAAGAAAAUGACGGUAC